rnacentral:miRNA from 1 species
UGAGCGAUUACUGGAGUUCA